GUCUAAGUAUAAGCAACUAUACUGUGAAACUGCGAAUGGCUCAUUAAAUCAGUCAUAAUUUAUUUGAUAGUACCUUUACCUGGAUAACCGUGGUAAUUCUAGAGCUAAUACAUGCUAAAAACCUCGACUUCGGAAGGGGUGUAUUUAUUAGAUAAAAAACCAAUGCCCUUCGGGGCUCCUUGGUGAUUCAUAAUAACUUAACGAAUCGCAUGGCCUUGCGCUGGCGAUGGUUCAUUCAAAUUUCUGCCCUAUCAACUUUCGAUUGUAAAGUAGUGGUUUACAAUGGUUUUAACGGGUAACGGGGAAUUAGGGUUCUAUUCCGGAGAGGGAGCCUGAGAAACGGCUACCACAUCCAAGGAAGGCAGCAGGCGCGCAAAUUACCCAAUCCCAAUUCGGGGAGGUAGUGACAAUAAAUACUGAUACAGGGCUCUUUCGGGUCUUGUAAUUGGAAUGAGAACAAUUUAAAUCCCUUAACGAGGAACAAUUGGAGGGCAGCU
rnacentral:rRNA from 1 species